rnacentral:rRNA from 1 species
UACGUAGGUGGCAAGCGUUUGUUCGGAAUUAUUGGGCGUAAAGGGCGCGUAGGCGGUUUGUUAAGUCGGUCGUGAAAGCCCGGGGCUCAACCCCGGAGGGUCGACCGAUACUGGCAGGCUAGAGUACAGAAGAGGUAACUGGGAAUUCCCGGUGUAGCGGUGAAAAUGCGUAGAUAUGGGAGGAACACCAGAGGCGAAGGCGGGUUACUGGGCUGAUACUGACGCUGAUGCGCGAAAGCCAGGGGAGCAAACGGG